rnacentral:snoRNA from 1 species
CAGGGAGAGAAAUAUUGAAAGAUGUUUUCCCCGUGUUUGGAGGGUCCAUCUGUCCCUUCUGAACCCUGGAGCUUUCCCACA